UGAGUACAUCUCAUAAGCAAGUGUG
rnacentral:piRNA from 1 species